GGGGAAUAUUGGACAAUGGGGGAAACCCUGAUCCAGCAAUGCCGCGUGAGUGAUGAAGGCCUUCGGGUUGUAAAGCUCUUUUACCUGUGACGAUAAUGACGGUAACAGGGGAAUAAGCUCCGGCUAACUUCGUGCCAGCAGCCGCGGUAAUACGAAGGGAGCUAGCGUUGUUCGGAAUUACUGGGCGUAAAGGGCGCGUAGGCGGUCCUAAUAAGUUAGAUGUGAAAGACCUGGGCUUAACCUGGGAAGUGCAUUUAAGACUGUGGGACUAGAGGAUGAGAGAGGAAAGUGGAAUGACAAGUGUAGAGGUGAAAUUCGUAGAUAUUUGUUGGAACACCAGUGGCGAAGGCGACUUUCUGGAUCAUAACUGACGCUAAGGCGCGAAAGCGUGGGGAGCAAAC
rnacentral:rRNA from 1 species